rnacentral:rRNA from 1 species
AACGAACGCUGGCGGCAUGCCUAACACAUGCCAGUCGAACGAGACCUUCGGGUCUAGUGGCGCACGGGUGCGUAACGCGUGGGAACCUGCCCUUAGGUUCGGAAUAACUCCCCGCAAGGGGUGCUAAUACCGGAUAAUGUCUUCGGACCAAAGAUUUAUCGCCUUUGGAUGGGCCCGCGUUGGAUUAGCUAGUUGGUAGGGUAAAAGCCUACCAAGGCGACGAUCCAUAGCUGGUCUGAGAGGAUGAUCAGCCACACUGGGACUGAGACACGGCCCAGACUCCUACGGGAGGCAGCAGUGGGGAAUAUUGGACAAUGGGCGAAAGCCUGAUCCAGCAAUGCCGCGUGAGUGAUGAAGGCCUUAGGGUUGUAAAGCUCUUUUAACCGGGAUGAUAAUGACAGUACCGGGAGAAUAAGCUCCGGCUAACUCCGUG